UUAGAUACCCUGGUAGUCCACGCCGUAAACGAUGUCGACUAGCCGUUGGGAUCCUUGAGAUCUUAGUGGCGCAGCUAACGCGAUAAGUCGACCGCCUGGGGAGUACGGCCGCAAGGUUAAAACUCAAUGAAUUGACGGGGGCCCGCACAAGCGGUGGAGCAUGUGGUUUAAUUCGAAGCAACGCGAAGAACCUUACCUGGCCUUGACAUGUCCGGAAUCCUGCAGAGAUGUGGGAGUGCCUUCGGGAAUCGGAACACA
rnacentral:rRNA from 1 species